GCCAGCCACCCAGGAAGGAAGCGUUUUGUUCCUUUCAGGGGGCUUGGCUAGCCAGUGGCCACGCUGUUGAAAAGCUCUAAAAUUUCCAACCAGCACUGGGACCCUUACCAGGGGAGACUGGGAACAGGCGGUCACAAGGUCACAAACCACCGAGCUGAUCUCCGGAUCUUUUACUUUGUUGAUGGCUGCCUUCCUUCCCUCCCUUAUAACUAUGACCGGUCUCCUUUCUCACAAUGGUUAAGAAUCUGCCUGCCAAUGCAGUGGAUGUGGGUUCGAGCCCUGGUCCAGGAAGAUCUCAC